rnacentral:rRNA from 1 species
UACGAAGGGGGGCUAGCGUUGCUCGGAAUCACUGGGCGUAAAGCGCACGUAGGCGGAUUGUUAAGUCAGGGGUGAAAUCCUGGAGCUCAACUCCAGAACUGCCUUUGAUACAGCACGUCUUGAGUCCGAUAGAGGUGGGUGGAAUUCCUAGUGUAGAGGUGAAAUGCGCAGAUAUCAGGAGGAACACCUAUUGCGAAGGCAGCUCGCUGGGACGUAACUGACGCUGAGACGCGAAAGCGUGGGGAGCAAACAGG